rnacentral:lncRNA from 1 species
CUUUUAGAAUAAAAAUUUCUUUUGAAAGGUACAAAAUAAAAUAAUAAGUGAAUCAAAAGAAUCAAAAGAUGGCAGGUAUACCUCCUGAGGUAAGGAAAAAGAAUCAAAAGAUUUGCAGUCCUAAAAGCAUCCUCUGCUAGGUUUAGAUGUAUGUCUGCUCUAUUGUCCAAAUCAUCGCUGCCUUCUGUGAGUGAAAAGUCUAGCACUCUUUUUGCAGGCGUAGAUUUUUGCACAUUUUGCACAGUGUCCUAAAAGCAUCCUCUGCUAGGUUUAGAUAUAUGUCUGCUCUAUUGUCCAAAUCACCGCUGCCUUCUGUGAGUGAAAAGUCUAGCACUCUUUUUGCAGGCGUAGAUUUUUGCACAUUUUGCACAGUGUCCUAAAAGCAUCCUCUACUAGGUUUAGAUAUAUGUCUGCUCUAUUGUCCAAAUCAUCGCUGCCUUCUGUGAGUGAAAAGUCUAGCACUCUUUUUGCAGGCGUAGAUUUUUGCACAUUUUGCGAAGUCUUGUUCAAGAGAAAGAUUUUUGCACAGUCAUUUUCUGAAGCUU